rnacentral:rRNA from 1 species
AUGUGCCGGAACCUGAAAUCUAUCUCUUUGAAAUUCUGGUUGGGAGCAGCCGAUGGGGAACGCAAAGUCCACUGGGUGGCGUGGGAUAAAAUGUGCAUGAGAAAAAGGGAAGGUGGAAUGGGGUUCAGAAAUUUUGAGAUUUUCAACCAAGCUCUUCUAGCAAAGCAGGUGUGGCGGAUCAUUAUGGUGCCAAAUUCAUUAUGCGCACGGGUGUUAAAAGCUAGAUAUUUUCAGGACAUGGAUAUAAUGUCAGCCCCUUGUCCACAAGGUUGCUCUUUCACAUGGAGAAGUCUAAUGCAUGGGAGGGAUCUGUUAGCACAAGGGUUGGUGUGGAGAGUGGGAGACGGCUCUACAAUCAAUGUACAUCAUAGCAAUUGGAUCCCCAGGGCAGGGAGCAUGACACCACUGGGUGUUGUGUUCGUCCCAAAUUUAACCAAGGUGGCAGACUUCCUAAAGGUCUAG